GUGGGGAAUUUUGGACAAUGGGCGCAAGCCUGAUCCAGCAAUGCCGCGUGCAGGAAGAAGGCCUUCGGGUUGUAAACUGCUUUUGUACGGAACGAAACGGUCCUGGCUAAUACCCGGGGCUAAUGACGGUACCGUAAGAAUAAGCACCGGCUAACUACGUGCCAGCAGCCGCGGUAAUACGUAGGGUGCGAGCGUUAAUCGGAAUUACUGGGCGUAAAGCGUGCGCAGGCGGUGCUGUAAGACAGGCGUGAAAUCCCCGGGCUCAACCUGGGAAUUGCGCUUGUGACUGCAGUGCUGGAGUGCGGCAGAGGGGGAUGGAAUUCCGCGUGUAGCAGUGAAAUGCGUAGAUAUGCGGAGGAACACCGAUGGCGAAGGCAAUCCCCUGGGCCUGCACUGACGCUCAUGCACGAAAGCGUGGGUAGCAAACAGGAUUAGAAACCCUAGUAGUCC
rnacentral:rRNA from 1 species